UGUCCAGUGCGUGUCGGAGAGUAAUUUCAUGUUAGUGACAUCACUACUGUCAUGGAGUUGCUCUCUUAUUAGCGCUGAGGCC
rnacentral:pre_miRNA from 10 species